rnacentral:tRNA from 2 species
GGGCAUGUGGCGGAAUUGGUAUACGCGUAUGCUUCAGGAGCAUAUAAGAGCAAUCUUGUGGAGGUUCAAGUCCUCUCAUGCCCA